rnacentral:rRNA from 1 species
GCGUGCUUAACACAUGCAAGUCGAACGGAAAGGCCCUGCUUUUGUGGGGUGCUCGAGUGGCGAACGGGUGAGUAACACGUGAGUAACCUGCCCUUGACUUUGGGAUAACUUCAGGAAACUGGGGCUAAUACCGGAUAGGAGCUCCUGCUGCAUGGUGGGGGUUGGAAAGUUUCGGCGGUUGGGGAUGGACUCGCGGCUUAUCAGCUUGUUGGUGGGGUAGUGGCUUACCAAGGCUUUGACGGGUAGCCGGCCUGAGAGGGUGACCGGCCACAUUGGGACUGAGAUACGGCCCAGACUCCUACGGGAGGCAGCAGUGGGGAAUAUUGCACAAUGGGCGGAAGCCUGAUGCAGCAACGCCGCGUGCGGGAUGACGGCCUUCGGGUUGUAAACCGCUUUCGCCUGUGACGAAGCGUGAGUGACGGUAAUGGGUAAAGAAGCACCGGCUAACUACGUGCCAGCAGCCGCGGUGAUACGUAGGGUGCGAGCGUUGUCCGGAUUUAUUGGGCGUAAAGGGCUCGUAGGUGGUUGAUCGCGUCGGAAGUGUAAUCUUGGGGCUUAACCCUGAGCGUGCUUUCGAUACGGGUUGACUUGAGGAAGGUAGGGGAGAAUGGAAUUCCUGGUGGAGCGGUGGAAUGCGCAGAUAUCAGGAGGAACACCAGUGGCGAAGGCGGUUCUCUGGGCCUUUCCUGACGCUGAGGAGCGAAAGCGUGGGGAGCGAACAGGCUUAGAUACCCUGGUAGUCCACGCUGUAAACGGUGGGUACUAGGUGUGGGGUCCAUUCCACGGGUUCCGUGCCGUAGCUAACGCUUUAAGUACCCCGCCUGGGGAGUACGGCCGCAAGGCUAAAACUCAAAGGAAUUGACGGGGCCCCGCACAAGCGGCGGAGCAUGCGGAUUAAUUCGAUGCAACGCGUAGAACCUUACCUGGGUUUGACAUGGAUCGGGAGUGCUCAGAGAUGGGUGUGCCUCUUUUGGGGUCGGUUCACAGGUGGUGCAUGGCUGUCGUCAGCUCGUGUCGUGAGAUGUUGGGUUAAGUCCCGCAACGAGCGCAACCCUUGUUCACUGUUGCCAGCACGUUAUGGUGGGGACUCAGUGGAGACCGCCGGGGUCAACUCGGAGGAAGGUGGGGAUGACGUCAAGUCAUCAUGCCCCUUAUGUCCAGGGCUUCACGCAUGCUACAAUGGCUGGUACAGAGAGUGGCGAGCCUGUGAGGGUGAGCGAAUCUCGGAAAGCCGGUCUCAGUUCGGAUUGGGGUCUGCAACUCGACCUCAUGAAGUCGGAGUCGCUAGUAAUCGCAGAUCAGCAACGCUGCGGUGAAUACGUUCCCGGGGCUUGUACACACCGCCCGUCAAGUCAUGAAAGUUGGUAACACCCGAAGCCGGUGGCCUAACCGUUGUGGGGGAGCCGUCGAAGGUGGGACUGGUGAUUAGGACUAAGUCAUAA